GCUGACGAGUGGCGGACGGGUGAGUAAUGUCUGGGAAACUGCCUGAUGGAGGGGGAUAACUACUGGAAACGGUGGCUAAUACCGCAUAACGUCGCAAGACCAAAGAGGGGGACCUUCGGGCCUCUUGCCAUCAGAUGUGCCCAGAUGGGAUUAGCUUGUUGGUGAGGUAACGGCUCACCAAGGCGACGAUCCCUAGCUGGUCUGAGAGGAUGACCAGCCACACUGGAACUGAGACACGGUCCAGACUCCUACGGGAGGCAGCAGUGGGGAAUAUUGCACAAUGGGCGCAAGCCUGAUGCAGCCAUGCCGCGUGUAUGAAGAAGGCCUUCGGGUUGUAAAGUACUUUCAGCGGGGAGGAAGGUGUUGUGGUUAAUAACCGCAGCAAUUGACGUUACCCGCAGAAGAAGCACCGGCUAACUCCGUGCCAGCAGCCGCGGUAAUACGGAGGGUGCAAGCGUUAAUCGGAAUUACUGGGCGUAAAGCGCACGCAGGCGGUCUGUCAAGUCGGAUGUGAAAUCCCCGGGCUCAACCUGGGAACUGCAUUCGAAACUGGCAGGCUUGAGUCUUGUAGAGGGGGGUAGAAUUCCAGGUGUAGCGGUGAAAUGCGUAGAGAUCUGGAGGAAUACCGGUGGCGAAGGCGGCCCCCUGGACAAAGACUGACGCUCAGGUGCGAAAGCGUGGGGAGCAAACAGGAUUAGAUACCCUGGUAGUCCACGCCGUAAACGAUGUCUACUUGGAGGUUGUGCCCUUGAGGCGUGGCUUCCGGAGCUAACGCGUUAAGUAGACCGCCUGGGGAGUACGGCCGCAAGGUUAAAACUCAAAUGAAUUGACGGGGGCCCGCACAAGCGGUGGAGCAUGUGGUUUAAUUCGAUGCAACGCGAAGAACCUUACCUGGUCUUGACAUCCACAGAAGAAUCCAGAGAUGGAUUUGUGCCUUCGGGAACUGUGAGACAGGUGCUGCAUGGCUGUCGUCAGCUCGUGUUGUGAAAUGUUGGGUUAAGUCCCGCAACGAGCGCAACCCUUAUCCUUUGUUGCCAGCGGUCCGGCCGGGAACUCAAAGGAGACUGCCAGUGAUAAACUGGAGGAAGGUGGGGAUGACGUCAAGUCAUCAUGGCCCUUACGACCAGGGCUACACACGUGCUACAAUGGCGCAUACAAAGAGAAGCGACCUCGCGAGAGCAAGCGGACCUCAUAAAGUGCGUCGUAGUCCGGAUUGGAGUCUGCAACUCGACUCCAUGAAGUCGGAAUCGCUAGUAAUCGUGGAUCAGAAUGCCACGGUGAAUACGUUCCCGGGCCUUGUACACACCGCCCGUCACACCAUGGGAGUGGGUUGCAAAAGAAGUAGGUAGCUUAACCUUCGGGAGGGCGCUUACCACUUUGUGAUUCAUGACUGGGGUGAAGUCGUAACAAGGUAACCGUAGGGGAACCUGCGGUUGGAUCACCUCCUUA
rnacentral:rRNA from 1 species